AGCUUACAUGAAACUAUCCUAAUGGGAGAAAGAUCUGAGAGCUUCUGCUAAGGAAGAGCAAAUGGAAGCAAUGAAGAGAAAAAGACAUGGUACCUGAUUGCUCACUCUCCCAUAACAAGGUUUCAGACUCCUGGAUUUUAUUUCCAACAAUGAAACCUUCGAGGUAAUAGUUAAUGGCCCCCUCUCCUUCGAGAACUGUCAGCAAUUCAGUCCCACAAUGCAUUUCUUCUAGAUUGCUGGAAUAUUAUUCAUGACAGGAUGCGAGAAGCUAGAGUUAACAUGGAGCAUCUGGCAAAUAUGUCAGCAGAUGCCCUGGUUAGUGAAGGCAUGUAACCCAGCCUAUCGCCAACAGAUGGCCAGAGCUAUACUGGAUUUGAAAGCUAUUGGAUGAGAGGAAACUUUGAUAACCUAAAUUUCUACAAAAGUGAGCAUUUCUAUGCCAGGAUAACAUGGGAAUUGAGAAAAGGCCUGUGAAGACCUUUGGCGGAACCGUGAGCGCUUGCCUGGAGCAUGAAGAGCAUUAGAGAUGAAUGAAAGGUACAUGUGCAGUGAUUGAUGGAACACCUACAGCAUAUUCAUUGAAACUCUCAUUGAGAUUUAUGUUUUGGAAUUACUGUCAGCUAUUGCUCCUUCCAGCCGGAGUUCAAACAAUGUUCGCAGUUCCAAGAACCCUGUGGCUUGCAACUGAAGACUCCGUGGGCGGAAAAUCCCGGAAAACUGAAAGCCCGGCUGCUCGCUGCCUGUCAGUGCAGGCUGGACAGAGGGGCAGAGAAGGUGAAGUAGGGGAGGAGGGACAGGAAACCUGGUUUCCUUUAGCCCUUGAAGUCAAUCGUUUUAAAACUCCCAGGAAGCGGCACUGCGAAUACCAUAGGAGUGUUAUGGUUUCUCGCAGGUUCUUCCCUAUUCCUGGAAGAGCCUUCCCUCUUUUCCACCGGUCUUGUUCUCUACUCUCGUUUCAGUGUGCUUUCCUAAGGGCGGGGAGGUCUUCCCAACCCACAGACCUUGCCAUCUGCCAGAUGCCACACGCGUGGAAUCUUCUGGUGAGGGACUGUGCUGUCCCCGCUGAUGAGAAACCAGUGGGACACACACAGAGCUUGGCACUUCAAUGAGCAUGCCCAGUCCAUUUGAAGAUGUCAUCCAAUAAACAAUUCAUAAAGCUAAACUGUCCGCUUCAAUUUUCACUAGGAUAUUAUCUGAUUUUGAAAGAGCGAUAAAUAUUGACUUCAAUUAUUUUUAUACCUCUGAACCAUAUAGAGUUGUGGACUAUUGUUACCUCCGUUAAAAAAAAAUACAAUGAUAAAUCCAAAUUUUAUUUUUUUAUUGCAGUAACAUUGCAUUGUAACUUGUAAGUUUCAGGUGGGCAUCUGGAGAAUCACCAUGUAUAUGAUUUCACUGGUGUGAUACAGAGAAGACAAGUAAAACAGAAGACUGAAUAAAACAAAUAUAAACUCAAAGAUUUUUGAAGGAAAGUGAAAAAUUUCUUUCUUGGUUCUGUGAGGUGUCAUUCAUCAUUCAGGACAAAAUCUAGAACAUCCUCUUCCAAGCUCCUCUGGGCUGCCCUGGCAGGCAGUGAGUUUCUCUUCUGCUCACCCACAUGCUGGCUGUGUCUUCAUGGCCUCGUUUCAUCCUGGUCACUAGCUACUUAAGGCUGUAGACUGAUUUGCUGGUUCUUCUGCCUGAAUCUACUUAUCUUAGGACCUGACAUAUUGCUCAGCAUGGAGUAAGGCUUCACAUUUCUGGAAAGAUUGAAAUGUUCAAGUGAAAAAUAGAAUGUCUGUUCAUUU